rnacentral:lncRNA from 1 species
CCAGCUCCGUAGGAGACCCUGCAAAGUCAUAGUCUAGUCAAAGUGGGAACUUGGCCCCCUGGAGGCAAGCACAGGAUGUUGGGGUACCCAAAGGAAAAGGUGAAUUCUUCCAUACUACUGGGGCUUAGCUUUUGAGUUCAUGAUGGAAAAUGGAGGGGUCGGCGAGAGGCUUUAGGCAGAGUGUAAGCGACUGGUUUCACAGGGAGACAACAUGGCAAAGGCACAGCGGUAGAAAGGGUGACCCUGAACACACAGCAUCUCCGAGUGGCUCAGUGAGUCCCACACGGGGAAACCGGUAACUUUGACAAGAUGACUUGAAGUCUGAGUCUCAAAGGCCUUGAGAGGCACGCUAAGUAAAUAGAUGGCAUUUCAGCUCACGGCUGCUAGGGGACACUGACUGCCCCCACGCAAGAGGCGACAGGAUCCAAGGUGGCACGAAGGGAGCAGGCUGGGGCAAGGGACACACAGUGUUCCAAUGGGAGACGGGAGUGGACAGCAGGUGGGAAGGACCUGGGGACCACUGGGACCUGCCAAUUAUGGAGUCUGAUUAGCUGGGAAGACACAAGGCUGGCGCCUCUGCUGGGGGGAAGGGGAGCUGCCUGCUGUGGCCAUGUCUGCUUCCCCUGAGAGCAGCCUCUCCCUUUCCUCUAGGAAAAAGGGACAGUCCUGUCCCUACUGGCACCUGCUGUCCUUCUUCCCCCACCCCCUCCUUCCAGCCUCUUACACCUACAAGGAGACUGCAGCCCAAGGCAAAAGCCUG